GGGAGGGGGAAUUCCUGGACAGUUCAUGAGUUAGCGACAGUGUGUCAGUCGCAUUCCCCCAUGUUGGUGUUCUUGUGUGAAACUAGACAGAAAAAGGAGAAGAUGAGAAGAGUACGUAAUCGUCUUGGUCUGAAAGGAUUUUGUGGUGGGGAUAGCAACAGAAUGAGUGGGGGUUUAGCCCUCUAUUGGCAUGAAAAC
rnacentral:rRNA from 1 species